rnacentral:misc_RNA from 1 species
AAUUGAUAGAGCAGGCCAUCCAUCCAUUCUAAGUUGCCUAGUAACCUGAUCACAUCCUUUCUUAGUUUCAAGAAAUAUCAGUAUCUUGCUCCCAUCCAUCAAUUCUGUCAAAAGUUUAAUCAACCUGGGGUACUUCUCAUGCUCCGACACAACUUCAACAAUUUGGUUUAUAGACUGAUUAGCCUUAAGGUCAGGGGAUCCUAUUAUUACCUUGUAAGGAUUUUGUAAGAACUUUCUAGCCAAAGAUUCGACUUCUUUAGGCCAUGUG